rnacentral:lncRNA from 1 species
GCUUAAAUGAAGCUUGAUGGAAAUCACCUCCACGUGGUAAGUUCUACAUCAGGGAUGGGGAACCUGCACCCAAACUCUUGACGGAAGGCACUGGCACUAAUUGCGCCCCCACAAGGGAUGGGAGUUGGCCCCCCCAAUCCCAUAUCGUCCCGACCCAAAGGACCUCUGUCUUUGAAGGAUUUAACUUCAACCGGCUCCCAUGUAGCCAUCCAGCCACAGCUUCCAGACAUCUGAUUAGUGUGUCUGGGGCCGAGCCGGGAUGACUGUCCAUCAACAGAUAGAGUUGGGUGUCAUCAGCAUACUGAUGGCAACCCAAACCAAAAUUCCAGACAAGCUGGGCGAGGGAGCGCAUAAAGAUGUUGAAAAGCAUCGGGGAGAGAAUUGCGCCCUGCGGUACUCCACACACCAAGGAGUAGCGUGAUGACAGCUCCCACCCCCAUCCCCAGCGCCACCCUCUGUCCCCGACCAGAAAGGAAUGAGCGAAGCCAUUGAAGGACUGUGCCCCAAAUCCCCACGUCGGCGAGGCGGUGGUCUAAAAGUUCGUGAUCGACCAUGUCAAAGGCUGCUGACAUAUCUAAGAGAAUCAACAGCCCCAACCCGCCUCGAUCCAGCUGCCUACGGAAAUCGUCUGCUAGGGCGACCAGAGCUAUCUCGGUCCCAUGACCAGAGCGUAAGCUGGACUGGAAUGGAUCUAGAGCCGAUGUAUCAUCCAGAAAUCCACCCACCAGUUCAGCAACCGCUCUCUCAGUCACCUUACCCAGGAUUGGAAGAUUUGAAACUGGGCAUUAAUUGGAUAGAUCUAAAGGAUCUAAUGAUGUUUUCUUUAAGAGCGGGCACACCACUGCCUCCUUCAGUUCCCCUGGGAAUGUCCCGGUGCCAAGGGACAAAUUGAUGAUCUCACUGAGGGGGGCCCGCACCUCAUCUGAUCAUGCUCUAAUCAGCCAGGACGGGCACGGGUCGAGAGGACAGGUGGUAGGCUUUCCGACAUGGAGGAGUCUGUCCACAUCGGCUGAGAGUAUCCCGUCGAAGUGAUCCAGUAGUGGACCUAAGGACAGUCAAGGGGCCUCCAGUUCCAUUAUUGUAUCCAAAUUAGCAGGGAUGUCACGGCGGAGCAUCAGGACCUUCUCUGCAAAAAAAGCUCACAAAUGCCUCACAGCUAUGUGCCUGAUUCAUAUUUAAAUUUGGCUGUCCCUCUAGGGACAUUAGAGAGCUCAUUAUACUAAAAAGUUGCGCUGGGAGAGAGGUAGCGGAUGCAAUAGAGGCUGAGAAGUAGGAUUUCUUAGCAGCCUUCAUGGCCAUCUCAUAGAUUUUCAUAAACACCCUAUAAGAUGUUCUUGAGGCUCUGUCGCAGGCAUCCUGCCAUACUCGUUCUAGCCGUCUGAGGUCCCACUUCAUUUUCCAGAGCUCCUCGGUAAACCAGGGGGCCCAGUUUCUGCAGGGUCACAGAGGGCGCCUAGGUGCGAUCUCAUCGAUGGCCACCAAGAGCCGGGUAUUCCAACCCUCAACAAGCUCAGUCAAUGAGUCACCAGGGGGAGCAGGAUCCCGCAAGGCCUGAUGGAAUCUAUCAGGAUCCAUCAGCCUCCGCGGGUGAGCCCAAAUAGGCUUGUCACCUAAGCAG